rnacentral:rRNA from 1 species
GAAUGCUGACAUAAGUAACGAUAAAGCGGGUGAAAAGCCCGCUCGCCGGAAGACCAAGGGUUCCUGUCCAACGUUAAUCGGGGCAGGGUGAGUCGACCCCUAAGGCGAGGCCGAAAGGCGUAGUCGAUGGGAAACGGGUUAAUAUUCCCGUACUUGGUGUUACUGCGAAGGGGGGACGGAGAAGGCUAUGUUGGCCGGGCGACGGUUGUCCCGGUUUAAGCGUGUAGGUGUGUGUUCCAGGUAAAUCCGGUUCACUUUAACACUGAGGCGUGACGACGAGGCACUACGGUGCUGAAGCAACAAAUGCCCUGCUUCCAGGAAAAGCCUCUAAGCAUCAGGUAACAUCAAAUCGUACCCCAAACCGACACAGGUGGUCAGGUAGAGAAUACCAAGGCGCUUGAGAGAACUCGGGUGAAGGAACUAGGCAAAAUGGUGCCGUAACUUCGGGAGAAGGCACGCUGACACGUAGGUGAAGUGAUUUACUCAUGGAGCUGAAGUCAGUCGAAGAUACCAGCUGGCUGCAACUGUUUAUUAAAAACACAGCACUGUGCAAACACGAAAGUGGACGUAUACGGUGUGACGCCUGCCCGGUGCCGGAAGGUUAAUUGAUGGGGUCAGCGCAAGCGAAGCUCCUGAUCGAAGCCCCGGUAAACGGCGGCCGUAACUAUAACGGUCCUAAGGUAGCGAAAUUCCUUGUCGGGUAAGUUCCGACCUGCACGAAUGGCGUAAUGAUGGCCAGGCUGUCUCCACCCGAGACUCAGUGAAAUUGAACUCGCUGUGAAGAUGCAGUGUACCCGCGGCAAGACGGAAAGACCCCGUGAACCUUUACUAUAGCUUGACACUGAACAUUGAGCCUUGAUGUGUAGGAUAGGUGGGAGGCUUUGAAGUGUGGACGCCAGUCUGCAUGGAGCCGACCUUGAAAUACCACCCUUUAAUGUUUGAUGUUCUAACGUGGACCCGUUACCCGGGUUGCGGACAGUGUCUGGUGGGUAGUUUGACUGGGGCGGUCUCCUCCUAAAGAGUAACGGAGGAGCACGAAGGUUGGCUAAUCCUGGUCGGACAUCAGGAGGUUAGUGCAAUGGCAUAAGCCAGCUUGACUGCGAGCGUGACGGCGCGAGCAGGUGCGAAAGCAGGUCAUAGUGAUCCGGUGGUUCUGAAUGGAAGGGCCAUCGCUCAACGGAUAAAAGGUACUCCGGGGAUAACAGGCUGAUACCGCCCAAGAGUUCAUAUCGACGGCGGUGUUUGGCACCUCGAUGUCGGCUCAUCACAUCCUGGGGCUGAAGUAGGUCCCAAGGGUAUGGCUGUUCGCCAUUUAAAGUGGUACGCGAGCUGGGUUUAGAACGUCGUGAGACAGUUCGGUCCCUAUCUGCCGUGGGCGCUGGAGAACUGAGGGGGGCUGCUCCUAGUACGAGAGGACCGGAGUGGACGCAUCACUGGUGUUCGGGUUGUCAUGCCAAUGGCACUGCCCGGUAGCUAAAUGCGGAAGAGAUAAGUGCUGAAAGCAUCUAAGCACGAAACUUGCCCCGAGAUGAGUUCUCCCUGAGACUUAAAGUCUCCUGAAGGAACGUUGAAGACGACGACGUUGAUAGGCCGGGUGUGUAAGCGCAGCGAUGCGUUGAGCUAACCGGUACUA